GAUGAAGAACGCAGCGAAAUGCGAUAAGUAAUGUGAAUUGCAGAAUUCAGUGAAUCAUCGAAUCUUUGAACGCACAUUGCGCCCCCUGGUAUUCCGGGGGGCAUGCCUGUUCGAGCGUCAUUACAACCCUCAAGCUCUGCUUGGUGUUGGGCCCCGCCGCCCCGGCGGGCCCUAAAAUCAGUGGCGGUGCCGUCCGGCUCCGAGCGUAGUAAUUCUUCUCGCUCUGGAGGUCCGGGUGUGUGCUCGCCAGCAACCCCCAAUUUUUUUCAGGUUGACCUCGGAUCAGGUAGGGAUACCCGCUGAACUUAAGCAUAUCAAAAGCGGAGGA
rnacentral:misc_RNA from 1 species